CCUACGGGGGGCUGCAGUGGGGAAUAUUGGACAAUGGGGGGAACCCUGAUCCAGCCAUGCCGCGUGUGUGAAGAAGGCCCUCGGGUUGUAAAGCACUUUCAGUGAGGAAGAACGCCUGGUGGUUAAUACCCAUCAGGAAAGACAUCACUCACAGAAGAAGCACCGGCUAACUCCGUGCAGCAGCCGCGGUAAUACAGAGGGUGCGAGCGUUAAUCGGAAUUACUGGGCGUAAAGCGCGCGUAGGUGGCUUGAUAAGCCGGUUGUGAAAGCCCCGGGCUCAACCUGGGAACGGCAUCCGGAACUGUCAAGCUAGAGUGCAGGAGAGGAAGGUAGAAUUCCCGGUGUAGCGGUGAAAUGCGUAGAGAUCGGGAGGAAUACCAGUGGCGAAGGCGGCCUUCUGGACUGACACUGACACUGAGGUGCGAAAGCGUGGGUAGCAAACAGGAUUAGAUACCCGAGUAGUC
rnacentral:rRNA from 1 species